rnacentral:rRNA from 1 species
GAUGAACGCUGGCGGCGUGCCUAAUACAUGCAAGUCGAGCGAACAGACGAGGAGCUUGCUCCUCUGACGUUAGCGGCGGACGGGUGAGUAACACGUGGAUAACCUACCUAUAAGACUGGGAUAACUUCGGGAAACCGGAGCUAAUACCGGAUAAUAUAUUGAACCGCAUGGUUCAAUAGUGAAAGACGGUUUUGCUGUCACUUAUAGAUGGAUCCGCGCCGCAUUAGCUAGUUGGUAAGGUAACGGCUUACCAAGGCAACGAUGCGUAGCCGACCUGAGAGGGUGAUCGGCCACACUGGAACUGAGACACGGUCCAGACUCCUACGGGAGGCAGCAGUAGGGAAUCUUCCGCAAUGGGCGAAAGCCUGACGGAGCAACGCCGCGUGAGUGAUGAAGGUCUUCUGAUCGUAAAACUCUGUUAUUAGGGAAGAACAAAUGUGUAAGUAACUAUGCACGUCUUGACGGUACCUAAUCAGAAAGCCACGGCUAACUACGUG